AGCAGGGUGGCUGAGUUUUAGGCAAUAGAUUGUAAAUCUAUUAACGGGUUUAUUACCUCUUUGCUA
rnacentral:tRNA from 1 species